UCUAUUUACUACAAGACAUGUCAAAAUUUACAUGUGAAAGCAGGAGAUGAUCCUAAAAAUGGUUUUUCGUCUCCUACAAAAUUCAUGAAAAAUCAGAUAGGAGAAUUUGUACAUUACAAUUCUCUGAUGUUUGGGAAAAAGGGCUUAAGUCAGAAAUGCACAUCGAUAAUGUUUUGAUGAUUUCUGGACCAGAAAAAUCGACUCUUUUUAUUGGUACAUACAGUUUACGUCUACAACAGUUUUUUGCUGGUCCAGAAAUCAUCAAAACAUUAGCAAUGUGCAAUUCUGACUUACGCCCUUUUUGCCAAACAUCAAAAAAGCAAUCUGGUCAUAACUGACCAAUGAGCAAUUUUAAUUUAACCUAAAUUACUACUGUUUCUUAAAAUGAAGAGCUUACCCGAUACCCUAAUAGCACACGACGUCCAAUGGACGUCCAAAAUAGGUCCAUUUUUGGUCCUAACGUCCAUGGACUAUAAAUGGACGUCCUUUGGACGUCCCAUGUUGGACGUCCUUCGGAAGGAAUAAAUAUGGACGUCCUUUGGACGUCCGACGUUGGACGUCCUUCGGACGGAAUAAAAAUGGACGUCCUUUGGACGUCCGACGUUGGACGUCCUUCGGAAGGAAUAAAUAUGGACGUCCUUUGGACGUCCGACGUUGGACGUCCUUCGGACGGAAUAAAAAUGGACGUCCUUUGGACGUCCGACGUUGGACGUCCUUCGGAAGGAAUAAAUAUGGACGUCCGACGUUGGACGUCCUUCGGAAGGAAUAAAUAUGGACGUCCUUUGGACGUCCGACGUUGGACAUUCUUCGGACGGAAUAAAAAUGGACGUCCUUUGGACGUCCGACGUUGGACGUCCUUCGGAUGGAAUAAAUAUGGACGUAUAUAUACUGGACGAAAUACGGACAAUUUAUGAACGCUUCUAUUGGACACAUUAUACCAAUUACGGGAUCAAAUAGCAAAAUAAUUCAAUAAAAUAUUAACUUAUUUACGUUAAUGAAUACAGUAAAACCUGUCAGUAACGGACACCUGCCAAAAUUGGUCACAUGUACUAACGGCCAGUUUAAAAAUUCCCCAAACCAUAUCUAGACUACAAAAACUGGCAAUACCGGCCACCUUUCUAUAUCGGCCAAUAGUUUUUUCAUUUUUAGUGGCCGUUACUGUAAAUGGUUUGGGGAAUUUUUAAACUGGCCGUUAGUCAGGGGCGUCAUUUGAUAGGGGGCAGGGGGGGGCAUUUGCCCCCCCCUAACCCUGAAAAUUACUGAAAUUUACAAAAAAUAGAUCAAUUUUGUAUUAUGUUUGCAUAUAAAUGUAUUGUAUAUAUAAUGCUUGCCCCCCCUAUCAAAAUUUCAAAUGACGCUCCUGCCGUUAGUACAGGUGGCCUAUAUGUUGGCAAGUGGCCGGAAACACAGGUUUUGCUUUAGUUUCCCUAAUAGCACACGACGUCCUUUGGACGUCCAAAAUAGGUCCAUUUUUGGUCCUAACGUCCAUGGACUAUAAACGGACGUCCCAUGUUGGACGUCCUUCGGAAGGAAUAAAAAUGGACGUCCUUUGGACGUCCGACGUUGGACGUCCUUCGGACGGAAUAAAUAUGGACGUCCUUUGGACGUCCGACGUUGAACGUCCUUUGGACGUCCAUACUGGACGAAAUACGGACGUUUUAUGAACGCUUAUCUUGGACACAUUAUACCAAUUACGGGAUCAAAUAGCAAAAUAAUUCAAUAAAAUAUUAACUUGCGUUAACUUUACGUUAAUGAAAUACAGUCAAACCUGUCACUAACGGCCACUAAAAUGAAAGAACUAUUGGCCGAUAUAGAAAAGUGGUCGUUAUUGCCAGUUUUUGUAGCCUAGAUAUACAGUACAACCUGUGUUACUGGCCACCUGUACUAACGGCCAGUUUAAAAAUUCCCCAAACCAAUUAUAUCUAGACUACAAAAACUGGCAAUACUGGUCACCUUUCUAUAUCGUCCAAUAGCUUUUUCAUUUUUAGCGACCGUUACUGACAGGUUUUACUGUAAUUAGUGUGGGGAAUUUUUAAACUGGCCGUUAGUACAGGUGGCCGGUGUUGGCAGGGGGCCGGUAACACAAGUUUUACUGUAGUUUAAAUCGAAAAGAUUAAAUCUUAAUUCAAAAUUGUAUAUUAAAUUAUUACAAUUAUAAAUUAUAUAGUUUAAUAUCCAAAACAUGUUUUGAUUUCAUGUAAUGUAAUGAAAAUCUUAUUUGUAAAUUAUUGGUUACAAUGUUUAACAACAGGAAAUAUUCAAGAAUAAAUAAAAUAAAAGUUUCCCCUAACAACAAAACAUUCCAGGAAUUCUACUAUCAAAGUUCUAUUCCGUGAACAUCGAUUAAAUUAUGGCUGGAAAGUUACCACAAGAUAUUCUAUGAAAAGAGUACAAUGUCCUCCUGGAGGGGUAAAAUUUUCCAUACUCUAAAGAGAGGCCAUUUACUAUUCAAUUUGCGUUCAUUUUCAAAUUUGCCGCGCGAGUAUCUAUGUAGCGUCGCGUGGUCAUUGGUCAUCAAGUCAUCUUAUUUCAUUUUCAUCAUAAGAUAACCUAAAAAUUUAGUAAAAAUUUUGAUUGGAAAAAAAUGCAUCGAUAAGGGGGUGAAAAAUGGAAAUUAGUGGCUUUUUUUUGCUGUACUCAACUGUACUGUUUAGUAUGCUAGUUUUGGCUAUGGCUGGAUCUCUUAAACAAUUAUAAUCAGCUGAAACUGGUCUACAAAAAACCAGAUAUAACCAAAAUAAAGAUAUAAAAAGUGUAUUGGCUAAUUGGAAGAAACUCAACAUUGUCCAUGCAUAAUAAGUUAUUACUUUAUAAACAAAUAUUAAGACCUAGGAAUGGAACCUGGAUAUAAUCAUCAAGAAGAUAGCAGGAAUCCCGACAAACAACAGGAAAUCCAGCUCCUCGAUACUACUGGGCAAACUAGAAGAUUGAAGAGGACAAAGCCUUUUGAACUAGUUUGAGUGAUAGGUGAUAGUGAAAAGCAGAGCAUAGUGCGUGAUGUGGCUGUGUAUGUUAGAAUAGUGCACGAUCUUGUUAGAUUAGAUAAGAGACGCUAUCGGGUAAGCUCUUCAUUUUAAGAAACAGUAGUAAUUUAGGUUAAAUUAAAAUUGCUCAUUGGUCAGUUAUGACCAGAUUGCUUUUUUUUAUGUUUGACAAAAAGGGCGUAAGUCAGAAUUGCACAUUGCUAAUGUUUUGAUGAUUUCUGGACCAGCAAAAAACUGUUGUAGACGUAAACUGUAUGUACCAAUAAAAAGAGCCGAUUUUUCUGGUCCAGAAAUCAUCAAAACAUUAUCGAUGUGCAUUUCUGACUUAAGCCCUUUUUCCCAAACAUCAGAGAAUUGCAAUGUACAAAUUCUCCUAUCUGAUUUUUCAUGAAUUUUGUAGGAGAUGAAAAACCAUUUUUAGGAUCAUCUCCUGCUUUCACAUGUAAAUUUUGACAUGUCUUGUAGUAAAUAGAUAGUUGAAUUUACUACAAAACAUGUCAAAAAAUAUAUGAAAACAGGAGGUGACCAUAAAAAAAGUUUUUAGUCUCUCUUAAAAAAACUCAUGAAAAAACAAAUCGGAGGUAUGUCACAUCAGUGACUAUAUCCAGGGAAUGUCUAAAAAAUAUACUUUGAUGUCCCAAGAACCAAAUAUAACCUUUAUAUAUAUAUAUACAGGGUGUAACAAAAAUACAGGUCAUAAAUUUAAUCACAUAUCCUGGGACCAAAAAUAGUUUGAUUGGACCUAACUUACCUUAGUACAAAUGUGCACAAAAGAAAAGUUACAGCCCUUUGAAGUUAUAUAUUAAUAGCACCAAGGGCCUUAGAGGCCCAUGGCUUGAAAAGUUUGUUUUUUUCUUCAUUUUCACGUUUCUUUAUGUACUGAGAUCUUCUCUGGCUUGAUAUGUGAUUUUUCUCCAUUCCUUCCUCUUAUUCAUUUUUCUUUUCUGACCCUGUAACACCAUUCUUUCCAAAUCUUUUUCGACCUCUUGCUUCCAUCUAUUUUCCGGUCUUCCUCUUCUCUUUCUUGAAGCUAUAGUGUAGUUUAGUACCCUUUUCGGAGUCCUCGUUUUUGGCAUCCUUUCAAUGUGACCUCAUGAUCUAAGUCUCUGUGCCUUUAUCACUCAUUUGAAGUUACAAAAUGAAAAGUGAUUUUUUCCAAUGUAUCGAAAACAAUGUGCUUUUGUGCACGUUUCAAUUUAAUUAUUAUUGUAGUACCUACCAUUUAAACAACGUUUUAAAAACUUUUUUGCCUCUUAUUGCUUUUUCAAAAAGUCAAUUUUUAUCGAAAUAUUUUGAAUAUUUGUCAAAUCCACCACAUAUUUGUAUAUGGUUAAGUACGAUUAUGGAGACUUGGUAAUAAUAUGCAAACUUAUUUAUGCUUUACAUUUUUAGGUAUAUUUUGAACCAUAUUAAAAAAGAA
rnacentral:lncRNA from 1 species